AAGUCGAACGGUAACAGGUUAAGCUGACGAGUGGCGAACGGGUGAGUAAUGUAUCGGAACGUGCCCAGUCGUGGGGGAUAACUGCUCGAAAGAGCAGCUAAUACCGCAUACGACCUGAGGGUGAAAGCGGGGGAUCGCAAGACCUCGCGCGAUUGGAGCGGCCGAUAUCAGAUUAGGUAGUUGGUGAGGUAAAGGCUCACCAAGCCGACGAUCUGUAGCUGGUCUGAGAGGACGACCAGCCACACUGGGACUGAGACACGGCCCAGACUCCUACGGGAGGCAGCAGUGGGGAAUUUUGGACAAUGGGCGCAAGCCUGAUCCAGCCAUGCCGCGUGCGGGAAGAAGGCCUUCGGGUUGUAAACCGCUUUUGUCAGGGAAGAAAAGGUUCUGGCUAAUACCUGGGACUCAUGACGGUACCUGAAGAAUAAGCACCGGCUAACUACGUGCCAGCAGCCGCGGUAAUACGUAGGGUGCAAGCGUUAAUCGGAAUUACUGGGCGUAAAGCGUGCGCAGGCGGUUAUGCAAGACAGAGGUGAAAUCCCCGGGCUCAACCUGGGAACUGCCUUUGUGACUGCAUGGCUAGAGUACGGUAGAGGGGGAUGGAAUUCCGCGUGUAGCAGUGAAAUGCGUAGAUAUGCGGAGGAACACCGAUGGCGAAGGCAAUCCCCUGGACCUGUACUGACGCUCAUGCACGAAAGCGUGGGGAGCAAACAGG
rnacentral:rRNA from 1 species